GCUUUUCGCGUUGUGUUAUGCGCGUGUUUGUGCAUGCGUGUCUGGUGUAGGCUUGCUCCGUGUGCAGGUGAAAAGAGGUGCGGUUGCAGACGCCACCUGCGUCCCACCCCUAUACAACUUCCUUUCGGUCCUUUUCGGUGUGAGCGUGCGUGGGUACGCGGUGGAGGCGGACAACAAGUGUUGUUGUGGGUCGGCUCAUUACGACGCAACCGCCUCCGUACGUCGUGCUCUAUCGGCUCCCUCCCCUCUUUCUUUUUCUCACUCCGCUCGUCUCGCUCGUCUCGCUCGUCUCGCUCUCUGCAUAGACGCACAAAAGAACAACACGCAAAUUCACCAAUAAAGGGAGAUGAGUUUCAAUCUUGAGAAACUGAACAGGGGGCUCACGCGACUGGCGAGUGUGCGUCAGUACCCGAUCGCGAAGAAGCAAUACGUGGCGAAGCAGACAAAGGGCCGCGUCUUCCGCGUCGGUGUACUGCACAAGAAGGAGCUGACGGAGGCUGCGCUGCUGCGUAACCGGCGCGGCUUCAUCAACGCACAGCUCAACACCGUUGCCCAUGCCCCCUCCCUGUAUCACUGGCUCUUUCACCGCUGCGGCAUCCCGUUUGCGGAGACGCAGGCGCUGGCGAAGAGCGGCCGUUUGAAGGUGAAUGAAGUAAUCGUAUCAAGUGCCAGCGACCUCGAGAGCCAGCUUAGUUGGGAGACGUUUCAGCAGCUAGACAUCCAGGUCUGCUCUUCUCUGCCAGCGCUGCAGUCGAGCUCGUCGACAGGCGCGCACGUACGGGAAGCCUCACGCGCUGCUCAGGGUACGUGGGUGCCCGCGCUAAAGCGUGCGCUGCAUCGCACCUACACCUUCAUCUAUCUGCACCCUGGCGUGUCUGUCUCCUCGGAGGAGAGCGAUCCCCGCAGUUUUGUGCACCGCAUGGCCCCGAUCGUGGGCGCGGACCCCAGCCCGCUGCUCGGGCUCAAUGUGCUCCGGCCAAUAGGGUUCUUUGAUGGCAUGAAGGGCAUCGGCAUUGCAAGCAACGACGUCUCCAUGGUACGGUACUGGAACAACGAGAGCCUCGGCAACUUUGGCGUGUACGACGUACGCUUUCCUCGCGGGACACCGCUGGAGGUGGUGCAGCACGCCGCAAAGGACGUCGAGGCGACGCUGCAAGCAAGAGUGCAGCCUCAGCUCUCGACUGACGUCGGUGUGUCGUGCUCGUGCGUAUGCUGCCCACCACCGCCGCCAUCACGCGACACCGUGGCAAACCAGUUGUUCUCCGCGAUACCGCUGCUCACGGAAGAGCGACUGCUCGUCACAACGCCUCUACUGCCGUAUCGCGCGGCGCGCAGGCUCCAGCGCAGCGGUGCCGUCAUCUCUCUUGUAAGGAACGGUCCUUUUGUUCUGCCAUCCUCGCUCGUGCAGGAGAAGCUGCGGCCCUGCAACGCUACCGAUCUGGCGCUUCUCUUCACCUUCGAGCGUCGCUUGAAGACAAACCGCAUGGUGCUGAGUCUCCGCGAGUUUGAUGUUGGAAAAAAAGCGUAACGGCAGCGGCACAAGGAGAGGCACGGUGAUACUGACGGUGCGGUGCUCGAUUCAUCAAUGAGGUUUUAUGGAGAAAUGAAUGCUCAGGUGACAAGUUUUUUUUUUUUUCGGCGCCACACGCGCUAACAGAUGUCUUCAGACACCACGCAUGCCUGUCGGCUGCCGUUUUCGUUUGCCCAUUUUUGCUACACGCGGCCGGUUGUCGGGAUCAUAUCCCACCCACCCACUCCUCUUUGUUGCCCUCUCUCUAUACAUAGUGAUAGAGGGUUUUGUUUGCAGGGCACUUUUCUCACACCUCGGUAACGCACGUAAGGUCGCGCAACAGGGAGACGAAGGGAGGAAAAAAACCUCUCGAAGAAAAAUGAGCACCGAUAGACAGCAGGGGAACUAUGCCGGUUUCGAAGGAAGGCCAAAAGCCAUCAGUGACUGGUUAGUGUAGGGCGAGGGCACGGCACGUGUGUGUGUGUGUAUGUGUGUGCAUAUUUCGAUGGAAAUACACAUGCCUGCGUUUACUUCGCGCAGCCGGCAGUGGUGCUGUAGCCCAUAGCCUGCUUUCCUCGGGCCUGCUUUUGGGCCUGAAACGGGCCCGCGCCCGCUGCCUCGACCCGACGCCACCCUCCCACCUUCCACUUUAUCAUCUUUGUGCUCUCACCCGCAUUCCGACGUUCGUCCCGCUGUCCGCCCUGUCUUUUCCGCUCGGCCGAAUACUCAUCUCCUGUGCUGAGUGGCACAG
rnacentral:misc_RNA from 1 species